AUUGCCCCAGUAACGGCGAGUGAAGCGGCAAGAGCUCAAAUUUGAAAGCUGGCUCCUUCGGGGUCCGCAUUGUAAUUUGCAGAGGAUGCUUCGGGAGCGGUCCCCAUCUAAGUUCCCUGGAACGGGACGUCAUAGAGGGUGAAAAUCCCGUAUGGGAUGGGGUGUCCGCGCCCGUGUGAAGCUCCUUCGACGAGUCGAGUUGUUUGGGAAUGCAGCUCUAAAUGGGUGGUAAAUUUCAUCUAAAGCUAAAUAUUGGCCGGAGACCGAUAGCGCACAAGUAGAGUGAUCGAAAGAUGAAAAGCACUUUGAAAAGAGAGUUAAAAAGCACGUGAAAUUGUUGAAAGGGAAGCGCUUGCGACCAGACUCGCUCGCGGGGUUCAGCCGGCAUUCGUGCCGGUGUACUUCCCCGCGGGCGGGCCAACGUCGGUUUGGGCGGUCGGUCAAAGGCCCUCGGAAGGUAACGCCCCCAGGGGCGUCUUAUAGCCGAGGGUGCAAUGCGACCUGCCUAGACCGAGGAACGCGCUUCGGCUCGGACGUUGGCAUAAUGGUCGUAAGCGACCCGUCUUGAAACACGGACCAAGGAGUCUAACAUCUACGCGAGUGUUCGGGUGUCAAACCCGUGCGCGCAGUGAAAGCGAACGGAGGUGGGAACCCUUUGGGUGCACCAUC
rnacentral:rRNA from 1 species